UAGCGCUCAAAUUCCUAAAAAACACCAUAUGCCAGAACAACUUUAUCUCACUUCUCUAUUUCUCUGCUGGUGUUGCUAAAUUUUUGACUAAUUUAAAAGCAUCUUUCAGCCCAGAGCCCGGCUCUUGCUGAUCAAUUACCGUUUCAAGUACGCCGCCUUGAAAACGGCCUCAUUACUAAGUUCUAGUACUUUAAAACUGCUUCCCCGCCCGGACACCUGGAACUCCACCAGCUGCGUGAAAGGCAAUGAAAUCCUGGCUCACGCUUUUGGCUAUACUUAAAGUUCACAAGCUCCUGACGUUUAAAUAGGAGGCAGCCAGGUCUAACCUUCUUAAUCAAUCAAUGCAGUAGAAGGCAAUCACUCAUAGAUUACCUGGCCAUUAAGGGCGUCCCAAAAUUCCCUCGGUAGGCCAACCGAGCUUAACCAUAACAACGCGUCCGUUGCAUGUGGCGUCUGCCAAAACGCUGAACAACUGCAUUCCUAGAGAGCCUAGCUUCUCAGUCCUAAACGAAUUUACCUGUUUAAAAGCCUCACGGUGAGCUCUGAGCCCCCCGUUUAAUUAUCUGAAGCCCGAGACCGUCUCUGCUACCCUAUUAAAACCAAAUUAACCCUACACUACCGAUUGACUGGCUGGCAUUCCCAGUCAACCCACAUUUAAACCUCUUAAACCGUAUUUAUUUAUUUCCACACACCUUAAACCAUAUUAACUUAAACACAUAACUUCUUAACUCAAAAUUCACCCCCAAAAUGAACAACAAUGAAUUUAGUCAGACUACUAUGCCCUAUUUUACAACUAAUUAGUCAAGAUCACUAUGGACCAACGCCAGAAGCCCAGACUGAGUGAAUAUUAUUUAAUUAAAUUUAGUUUUAACUUCCAAUAUAGCGCCUUUGGAUAAAAAUCAACAGGUGGCACUCACCUUUUCUUAUGUCGCCUGGCGUCACUCAGAUAGGCUGCUGGCCUUUGCCCCCUUUGUCACCUUCCACGACGAGCUGCAGGUUGCAACUCCUCCCCACCCGGAGUUUCGGCACCAGGUUGUUAAGGUUCGGUCGAGUUAGGGAAGAGAAGAAAGCAAGCCCAAGUCGAAGUAGGUGUCAAAAAUAGUGAUCUUUAUUACACUCUGUGCACAAGAGUGGGAAAAGACAAUUUGCAAUCGAAUCCUCCCGUCAACUGAAGCAUCAGUCUCCUUAUAUUGCCUUUAUGACAUCACAGUUGGAUCUUUACUGGAAAUGAUCUCAAAUGAUAACAAUUCCCCGCCUAUCCCAAAGUUUUCCCUUAUAUAGACAUCAACUGCUACUCUUAAGAGAAAAACAAGUGUGUAUUACAUUGUGCAUUUUGUAAAAGUGUAUUUAUCAGAAAAACUGUCCUCAGAUGACCCUCCUAUUAUUACUAAGUGUGUAGGUGACCGUGCGUGUGUUACAUAAGUGCGUGCAUGUAAGCAGAGACCGGCGUACGUGCAAAAUUACACGCAGGCCUGCCAGGGCCCAACAGGACUCGUGGGUCUGUAUGGUGUGACUGCUCUGCUCUAACGUGCAACAACUUUAUAUAAACAGUCAGUGCGGAUUAAUAUAAACAGUCAGUGUGCAUUAAUAUUUGCUCAAAGUAACACAGGUGUAAUUAAAAGAUUAUACUGUCAACAGAUUCAACAAUGGUAAAGGAAUAAUCAAUAAUAACUGAUUGUGAGAAUACAAAAUAAAAUAUCUCCUGCUCACAGAA
ensembl:lncRNA